CCUCAAAAUUUUUGAGACCCGAUAGAGACCCAAUUCUCAUACUUUUUUCCCCUUCUCCUUCUCGUCUCUCUCUUCCCUUCGCCCUAGCCGCACUCCCGUAACCACCAUCAUCCUCAACUCCGACCACCUAACCACCAUCCUCACACCCGUUUUUCUCCUAGCCAAGCUCCAAAUCUCAGGCACCCGUGAAGCCAACCCCCGAACCAAGUGACCCCAGGUGCGAGCCCACCUCUGCGUGCCUUCGACCCAGUGGUCUCAUCAUUCUUGGAGAUCGCCGUUGGACAAACUACCGAGACUGCCAGGCAGUUCUUGCAGAUAAUUUAUGGAAUUUUGUUGGGAGAACAGGCAACAAGUUGGAAGCUUGAGGAGGCUAUUCAGCUUGGGAUUUCCACUGCUCACUGAUCGACUUCUACUACUAUAGGCCAGCAAUUUUCAUGGCCGAGGAUGUCGAGGAAUUUGUUACUAGCAUAUCAGAGCUUUGGUGUAGUUUACGGGGACUUGGGUACUUCACCUCUUUAUGUUUACUGAAGCACAUUUUCUGGGAAGUUACAAAAACAUAUUAGCCAAGAUGCAAUCUUUGGUGCUUUUUCAUUGAUCUUUUGGACUCUUACUCUUAUCCCUUUGCUUAAGUAUGUCUUUGUCUUACUCAGUGCUGAUGAUAAUGGUGAAGGUGGGACCUUUGCUCUUUACUCACUGCUUUGCCACCAUGCUAAGUUUAGUUUGCUUCCCAACCAGCAAGCAGCUGAUGAAGAGCUCACUGCCUAUAAAUAUGGUCCAUCUUCUCAGCAUGCUAGUUCGUAUAAAUAUGGUCAAUAACUGCUCUAAACAAGUCGGUAUCCAUAUUCACAUCCCAAAUUUUGAAAUUCACAUAUAAAUAUAUGUUUAUAUUCUGUAUUUAAGUUUGUGAAGCGGGUUUCUGUGUUUUUUCGAGUUCAGGUCAUUGAAAUGGACAAUGGCGGAACCAAGCGAGUUGACUCAGCACAUUGAGUCUUACGUUGACACGUCUCACUCCCAGAC